AGAGUUUGAUCCUGGCUCAGGACGAACGCUGGCGGCGUGCUUAACACAUGCAAGUCGAACGAGAUCCACGGUGUAGCAAUACACCUGAAGAUCUAGUGGCGAACGGGUGCGUAACACGUGAGGAACUUGUCCCGGUCUCUGGGAUAACAGUUGGAAACGACUGCUAAUACCGGAUGACGUCGGAGCAUCGCAUGGUGCGCUGACGAAAGGGUUACUGGAUCGGGAGAGCCUCGCGGCCUAUCAGCUUGUUGGUGGGGUAACGGCCCACCAAGGCAUCGACGGGUAGCUGGUCUGAGAGGAUGAUCAGCCACACUGGGACUGAGACACGGCCCAGACUCCUACGGGAGGCAGCAGUGGGGAAUCUUGCGCAAUGGGCGAAAGCCUGACGCAGCAACGCCGCGUGCGGGAUGAAGGCUCUCGGGUUGUAAACCGCUUUCAGCAGGAACGAAAAUGACGGUACUGCAGAAGAA
rnacentral:rRNA from 1 species